rnacentral:rRNA from 1 species
UGGGCACUCUAAGGAGACUGCCGGUGACAAACCGGAGGAAGUGGGGAUGACGUCAAGUCAUCAUGGCCCUUACGGCCUGGGCUACACACGUGCUACAAUGGUCGGUACAAAGGGUUGCCAAGCCGCGAGGUGGAGCUAAUCCCAUAAAACCGAUCGUAGUCCGGAUCGCAGUCUGCAACUCGACUGCGUGAAGUCGGAAUCGCUAGUAAUCGUGAAUCAGAAUGUCACGGUGAAUACGUUCCCGGGCCUU